AGCCGAGAAAAAGGUGUUGUAUGCAGCUUACGUCUCCAACCACCCGAAAACUUUCGUUAGAGAAGGCAAUAUCUGUGAGGUGUCUUGUGUAGUUUGAAGUCUGAUGUUAAUCUGUGGCCGUGUUAGUGCACCAGUGGGCAAGAAUUUUAUCUAUUUCGUUGUGCAAUGGUACAGUAUCUUUGCGUUGUGUAUGCGUACCAUGCAGCACUGGAAGUUGUUUCAAAAUGGAUAUAGGCGAGUUGCUAUCUUAUAAGCCCCCUAAUACGCCCAAAAGAGUCCAGGAUGAUGAUAAUGAAGAAGAAGAUUUUGAAAAUGAAUUUGAACGACAGCGUAAAAUGCGUAAGCUGGCUAAGUCUCGUGCCACUGAUGCAGGACUAGUUGAAAGAACUCAAAAGGCACAACAGAAAGAACCAGAAGAAGCUGUAAGGGCAGAGAAACCACUAACAGAUGAAGAGAGAGAAAAGAUUUUGAAAUUGGUUGAAAGUGAGGAAUUUGAGGGAGAGGUUCUGGAUGAAUCCACAUUGAAACGUCUGGUCUUACUGUUUGAGAAACGGGCACUCAGAAACCAGGAGAUGAGAAUUAAAUUUCCUGACAUGCCAGAAAAAUUUAUGGAAUCUGAGUUAGAGUUACAUGAAACGAUACAGGAGAUGCAUGUUGUGGCAACUGUACCAGACCUGUAUCCCAUUAUGGUGGAGCUUCAGGCAGUUCCUUCUCUCCUGGAACUACUUGCUCAUGAGAAUACAGAUGUUGCUGUGGCAGUUGUUGACUUGCUUCAGGAGCUGACAGAUGUAGAUAUUCUGCACGAGAGUGAAGAGGGAGCUGAUAGCUUGAUAGAUGCAUUGCUCAACCAGCAGAUCUGUGCAUUGCUUGUUCAGAACUUGGAGAGGCUGGAUGAGUCUGUCAAAGAAGAAUCUGAAGGCGUACAUAACACAUUAGCAAUCUUUGAGAACCUAGCAGAGUUUCGGCCUGAUCUAUGUGGAGAUGCAGCUAAACAAGGUCUUCUACAAUGGCUGCUUCGACGCUUGCGGGUGAAACUACCGUUUGAUGCAAACAAGCUUUAUGCAAGCGAGAUCCUGUCCAUUCUGCUCCAGGAUACACCUGAUAACCGACAAAUGCUCGGUGACUUGGAUGGUAUUGACGUAAUUCUACAACAGUUGGCUUUUUACAAGCGGCACGAUCCAACUUCCAGUGAAGAGCAUGAAAUGAUGGAAAACUUGUUCAACUGCUUGUGCGGAAGUCUGAUGUAUGCUCCCAACAGAGAAUGUUUCUUACGUGGAGAAGGUUUGCAGCUCAUGAAUCUGAUGCUCAGAGAGAAGAAGUUGUCACGGAAUGGAUCCCUUAAAGUGUUAGAUCAUGCUAUGUCUGGACCAGACGGAAAAGAGAAUUGUAACAAAUUUGUAGAUAUUCUGGGCCUCCGCACCAUAUUCCCACUGUUCAUGAAAACUCCAAAGAAGAAUCGUCGACGUAUUUUAACAACAGAAGAACAUGAAGAACAUGUGGUGUCAAUCAUUGCCAGUAUGUUGCGCAACUGUCGUGGCCCACAACGCCAGCGUCUCCUAAGCAAAUUCACGGAAAAUGAUCACGAGAAAGUAGAUCGUCUGUUGGAAUUACACUUUAAAUACCUUGAGAAAGUGGAGGAGGUUGACCUUGAAAUAGACCAUGAUCGUAGAGAUCUUGAUGAGGGAGACGAGGAUGCAGAAGAAGAGAGGAACUAUUUGCGCAGGCUGGAAGGAGGGCUCUUCACACUGCAGUUAGUGGACUACAUUCUUCUUGAAGUUUGUACUGGGGGACCAUCCACCAUAAAGCAACGUGUUACGCAGAUUCUUAAUCUGAGGGGCGGCUCACUUAAAACAAUCCGACAUGUUAUGAGAGAAUACGCAGGCAAUCUGGGAGAUGCAGGAGACACUGACUGGAGGGAAAUGGAACAACAACACAUCUUACAGCUUGUGGACAAGUUCUAGUUUCUGUUUAUGGACUGAAUAAUUUAGCGACCUUGCUAGAGACCCUAACAGAUAUUUAGGAAUAAAAGCACAGUUGCAUUAGUGGUGAUAAAAUGUUGCAGGGGAACUUAAAACCGUCUUAGCACAGCGUUCCCUAGCACCAAUUAUGAUGCUAUGGGCUUCAUGUGCUUAAUUCAGCACAAUUCUGGAUGGUUCCUGUGGUUGAAAUGCAGAACUGCAGAAGUUGCUGAGCAUUUAAAGAGGAGCGGGGAUGGCUCUGUGUUCAACAGAAAUGGUUCGGGAGGAAGCCGUCACGGCUUAUUUGAAGAUAUCAUUAGGACGUGACUUGCUGACGAAACCACGAUGAACCUUAGUGAAGGCAAACUAGUGCCCUACUCAAACACGAACCGACAGUCUCCCGCGUUACUGCAAGAAUUAACCUUCCCAAUGGGAACAGCGGAGGGUGCUGAAAGCAUUGUUCCGAUAUUUACUGACUGCCACGUGCUUUUUUCUCGUCAUUACAUAACAUUAACAGUCAUCUCGGUUUAGAUGUUUGUCACAUACGACAAACCACUGCAAUUCAGCAGUAUGAUUAUAAUCAUCACUCGACUGGAGAGAGGUAGCAAGCAGCAGCUCAUCACCAAUUGACGCACGUGAUAAUGGCCGUCUAAGCGCAAACAAAUAAACAACUGGUGAUAACACUCCAUCUCCAUGAAUGUUCUGUGAAAUGCUUGUUCGUAAGCUCUCUUGAGGAUACACAACAUGGAUGCAGGACUCUUAUUACAACCUUUCCUGUUAUGAUCGGUUCAUACAAAUACACCGUAAACGUCUAGAUCAGGAUAAUGUACCAAAUUGUUUCUGUUGUUCUGUUCUAAAUAUUGGUUGUAACAGAUAUCAGAUACAAAGCGAAAAAGUUGAAAAACACA